UACAGAGGGGGCAAGCGUUGUUCGGAAUUACUGGGCGUAAAGGGCGCGUAGGCGGCCGCCUAAGUCAGACGUGAAAUCCCUCGGCUCAACCGGGGAACUGCGUCUGAUACUGGGUGGCUUGAAUCCGGGAGAGGGAUGCGGAAUUCCAGGUGUAGCGGUGAAAUGCGUAGAUAUCUGGAGGAACACCGGUGGCGAAGGCGGCAUCCUGGACCGGCAUUGACGCUGAGG
rnacentral:rRNA from 1 species